rnacentral:rRNA from 1 species
GACGAACCGUGCGAACGUUAUUCGGAAUCACUGGGCUUAAAGGGCGCGUAGGCGGGCGGCCAAGUCAGGGGUGAAAGCCCCCAGCUCAACUGGGGAAGUGCCUUUGAUACUGGUUGUCUCGAGGGAGGUAGGGGCGUGCGGAACUUCCGGUGGAGCGGUGAAAUGCGUAGAUAUCGGAAGGAACACCGAUGGCGAAAGCAGCGUGCUGGACCUUUUCUGACGCUGAGGCGCGGAAAGCCAGGGGAAGCAAACGGGG